AGCAUUCCCAGCACAUAACAGGGUCUCUGAUGCCUAGUGAUCACCCAAUCAGUAGAUGUUGUACUGUGACAUAGCAACUGGAAGCACCUUGCACUCACAGGACCUUGAAAGAAGCCAGUGAUAAUAGUAGCAAACAAUAAUUGAGCACUUUGUACCAGUGUGAUAACAUUGUCAUGUAUCAAAAUAUUUAAUCAUCACAACAAAUUGGGCUAUUGUGAUUAAAGCCAGGUCAAAUAUCUUAAACACACAAAGUCCAUAUAGUAAGCAAGGAAUUAAGAAAAUGAAUUGUAUCUGCUUGUAAUAGGGAGUAAGGCAACUAUCUCUCUUCUCCCUUCUGAGAAAGUCUGUUUUG